rnacentral:rRNA from 1 species
AUACGGAGGGUCCGAGCGUUAAUCGGAAUUACGGGGCGUAAAGCGCGCGUAGGCGGCUAUAUAAGUCAGAUGUGAAAUCCCUGGGCUCAACCUAGGAACUGCAUUUGAAACUGUAUGGCUAGAGUAUGGUAGAGGUGAGUGGAAUUUCAGGUGUAGCGGUGAAAUGCGUAGAGAUCUGAAGGAACAUCAGUGGCGAAGGCGACUCACUGGGCCAUUACUGACGCUGAGGUGCGAAAGCGUGGGUAGCAAACAGGAUUAGAAACCCUUGUAGUCC